AAUCUACCUCGGAGUGGGGGAUAGCUCCUCGAAAGAGGGGGUAAUACCGCAUCCGUCUUGCGGAACACAAGUUCUGCAAGAGAAAGGCUGGGCUCCUUCGGGACCAGUCGCUCCGAGAUGAGCCCGCGUCCGAUUAGCUAGUUGGUAGGGUGACGGCCUACCAAGGCUCCGAUCGGUAGCCGGCCUGAGGGGGUGAUCGGCCACAUUGGGACUGAGACACGGCCCAGACUCCUACGGGAGGCAGCAGUGGGGAAUAUUGGGCAAUGGGCGAAAGCCUGACCCGGCGACGCCGCGUGGGGGAUGAAGGCCCUCGGGUUGUAAACCCCUGUCAGGGGGGGCGAAAGCCUUCCGGUCAAUACCCGGAAGGUCUGACGGUACCCCCAAAGGAAGCCCCGGCUAA
rnacentral:rRNA from 1 species